AGCAAUUGGGCUCCCACCUCCUGUCAGUGCUAUACCUCAUACAUUUAUUGGAAUUAUUAAUGCAUAUCUCCUUUGACAGAAGAGGAAAUGUUGGCCACACGUGGCACGCAUAGCUCCAAGACCUGCUGUAAAUACAAAUGCCAGCUCUCAAGAUCAUCAGUCUAGGGUCUCUGGUAGCACCUGGCUGAUUCACAGUCUUAAAACUCUGCUAGCUGAUUGCAUACAGGUGAAGUUAGUCAUUCAACAGCUUGAACCUGCUGAAUAAUUGAAGUGGAAAUGCAGAUAUCUCCCAGCAUUCUGUGCUCUGGUCUAGGAAAAGAGAACAAAGAUGAAGGACUCCACUUUUCCAGGUGGUGGGUGUCCCCACACCCACCCAAAUAAUUGGAUUGAUUUGCAAAGGGUUUGAAAGAAAGGAAACAGGAAGAAAUGUAAACUAUGUGCCUCUCAGGAUGGAUACCCCCUCCCCUCUCUCCAGAACGUGAUGAUGUGGUAAAGCAAGGCUUCCUGUAAAAGGAAGGGAGGAGCAGACAGGAACAGACUGCUGCCACUACUUUAAUGAGAAGUAUGGAGCUAUGGAGCAGCAGAUACAUUACCUUUUCAGUUGUAGCCAAUCCUCAUUGGUUUCUCUGUCAAGGCUUUAGAGGAGCAUUGCCUUACCCUUUUCCUUCUGACUACAACAUGCCCCACUGCUGUUGCCAAGCCAAUAGCAGCAGCAGGCCAACCAAUGUCACCAGUUGCUUUCCAGCCUACUGGUGGAGUGCUCCAGCUGCACAGGGAAGCAGGGGACACUCCUGGUACUCCGUCAGUAGGGGGUGGAGCUGUGGCUGCUGAAAGACCAAGCACCACUGCAGCACUUCUCCAGAAGAGGUUUUCCACUCUCAGCACUGCAGGAGAGCACUGUGGGGUCCAGGGCUCUACGUGUGUGCUAAUUUUUAUCAGCUACAGAGCAUUUCAGACUGAAGGAUGCUGAUAAUGACCUUCAUGUUGCUGUUGACUUUGGUUAAGUGAGUUAGUUAUCUAAAAGAUGACAGUGAAGCUCAUGGGUGAUGCAAUGAUGGCACCUGCUCAUACUUACUGAGGAACUGCCCAUCGUUCCUGCACUAAAGGCUUUGUUAUGUUCUCUCUCAUGGGGUCUAGCUAAUGAGUGUUAAACAUAACUAUCUUCAGUCACAUCUAAUCAACUGCUCCUUGGCUAAGAUGCGUACCUCAGAGAGAGUCUCACUGUAAAUUUUUUGUCUUAUUUUCAUUAAGCUGCUAAAAAAACAACAUGAAUGAAAGACUGAAUGAAAAGGAUUGUGCAACUUACCAAUGGUGGGAUUCACCGCUGGUGAGAUGGAAAUGGCUGCUGACAGAGCUCAGUGUCAGCAGUGGUCACUGUGCUGCAGCAGCAUGCAGAAACAUUGCCUUCGAUCUGGCUGCUCAAGAGUUUGCUGCUUCAGGUGAACUAUAGGGGCUACACUCAGUGUUUGGUUGAUAUUUGCGUACUUUGUUACAUAUUACUAUUGUAGUAAGGCUCAAGAAGGACCUUCAAAAUAUCACAGGAUUUCAUUUGGUAAGGAAAAUGUUUUUUUCCAAAGCUUCUCUUCCAUGACACGUGGUUUGUCUUGUGAAGAAAUAUCAGUAAAAACAAGAAUAUGAUGUUCAUAUGGAAUGGGCAGAUUAAACACUGGGGAUUUAAAGUGUUCUGUAUGGGAAUAUUUGUGAGAUACACAUGUGCCAGGGAAGGACCACAGACCCAGGAAUCUGGAGUAAAAGUACCACAUGUUUUGUGUCCUUGUAUUUAUGUCAAGACAGACAGUGAAUUUUCCCCCAUUAUUCUGCUGAUGACUGUGCCAGUUUGAAUUGGGAGAGUCCAAUAAAUGGAUUCCUA